rnacentral:rRNA from 1 species
GUCCACGCCCUAAACGAUGCAUGUUUGGUGUGGGUGAUUCAGUUCAUCCGUGCCGGAGCUAACGCGUUAAACAUGCCGCCUGGGGAGUACAGUCGCAAGGCUGAAACUCAAAGGAAUUGACGGGGGCCCCGCACAAGCGGUGGAGCAUGUGGUUCAAUUCGACGCAACGCGAAGAACCUUACCUGGGCUCGAACGGCUGGCUAACGGCGGUGGAAACAUCGCUACCCCGCAAGGGGGUCCAGUCGAGGUGCUGCAUGGCUGUCGU